rnacentral:ncRNA from 1 species
CAUGUACGCAAUUUUAUGAAAAUUAAUCUUCUUUAAAAUAAUAAUAAUAAUAAUAACAUUCCCGCAAGGGUGAGCUAACCCCAAAAACCCGUCCUCAGUUCAGAUUGCAGGCUGCAACUCACCUGCAUGAAGCCGGAAUCGCUAGUAAUCGCCGGUCAGUCAUACGGCGGUGAAUUUGUUCCUG